rnacentral:lncRNA from 1 species
AUCGGUUGCGUUCCGCGCCAACGCGUGACCCGACCUCUCGCCGGAGCCCCGAUUCUCUUGUCACUCCUGUUCGCCCGUCUCGCACCCGCUUUGGAUAACCCUCCCCUCCCGUUUCGUCCUAUCCAAGAAAAUGGCUCCUAUAAUAUCAAAUGACCUUGAUAAAUAUUUUUCCGAUGUUGAUAUUCCUGACGAAUACGUGACGAUAUUGAUAGUUUAAAAGCUUGGCUUGAGAAGCAGCCACAUCUUCCAAAAGUUUCAGAUCG